CAACGCAAAGAGCCAGCGCAGCGCCCAUCAAGGCCUGAGCUCUUCCGCUCCCGAAGCUCCGCCCACCUUCAGUCAACAUCACGUCAAGCGCACUCAGCGCCACGGCAACGAGUUGAACACUUGCGAAGGCGCGCGCAGACGUAAACACUUAUACGCACACACUAGAGCGUCUCCUCGGCCUCCCCACACGGCCACGCUCAACCAAACCGCAAACACGCGCACUAGACAUAGUCCAUGAUCCUACAUAAAAGUGCAUAGAUCGAUUUGUGGAGGGAAAGAGUGAGAGCGGUGGACCGACAGCAGCCUUGUCACUUCGUGUCUCUCUGUGCCGACGGGCCUGAAAACGUUCCACACCUAAAACCUUUUAAACUCGUAUCGCCCGUGACGUCGUCUGUCGUGAGUAGUCCUUGCCCUCGCCACCCCCCCUCUCAGCCCCUCUCGUCUUCGUCGUUGGGUGCUCGUGUUGCAGCUAACGGGCCUUGUUGUCUUCUUUGAUUGCACACUUACAUGUGUAUAUCGCGCUGUUCAGCGCUGCCGCCGCCUCCCCUCCACCCCACCGCGCACUUGGUUAUCGCACAGCUCUGUCGAUGUCCAGCAGUGAGAAGAAGCAUGCCGCGUGGGUGGAUGUAGUCGCCGGCGGCUUUGGCGGGGCGCUCGCCAAGUCUCUCCUCAGUCCUUUUCAACGCAUCGUCGUACUGCAGCAACUCGGGCAGCACAAGAGCUACAGCAUCGCCCAACUGGUGCGUCACAUAUAUGCGCAGGAAGGCUUGAAAAGCUUCUGGCGCGGCAACCUCACCUCGAUGGUGAUUCGAGUGCCGUACAGCGGCAUUCAGUUUUUGCUCUACACCCAGCUCAAGUUCUUCUUCCAAGAUUGGCUGGAUCGUCGUCAUGCCGCCGCGGCGCUGUCUGGCCACCAGGCGGACGGUAGUAGCGAUAACGACAACGCGUCCAGCGCCGCGACAUCGCGCGGGCUGGGGAUGGAGAAGUUCGUCAUGAAGUGCGGCGCCGGCGGCAUCUCGGCCACGAUCGCCGGCGCUGCCGUCUACCCGGGCGAAGUUGUCCGCCUCCGCCUCAUGUCUGGCGAGAAAAAGUUUACCGGCAUUGCUCAUACGUGCGGGCUCGUUUAUCGGGAGACGCGCUCGCUGCGCAACUUCUACCGCGGCCUCGGGGCGUCGCUCAUGCAGCGCGUGCCAGACAUCCUAGUCAGCUUCGCUACGUACGAGACGAUCAAGUACGCCGUGCUGGACAGCCCCGACCCGCUCCUCUUCAAGGACAAUGACGCGGCGCGAAACGUGCUGUCAACGAUGGUCGGUGGCUCCGCCGCGGCGAUAGCCUCCAUCCUCGUAGCGUUCCCACUCGACGUAGCGAAGCGGCGCAUCGGCAUGUCUGGCCAAGGCACCGACAAGACAGUUUACCGCGGUGUCGGCGACUGCCUGCGACAGAUCUACGCCAAGGAGGGCGUCCGUGGCUGGUACGCUGGGGCCUUUGUCGAGGCGGUGCGGUGUGUGCCGCAGGUGAUCCUCAUGUGGAUGUUCAUCGAGGUCAUCCAAAAGAAGUUGUCACCCUACGCGAGAGUGGCAUCCGCCGAAGACGAGAUGGCGAAGCGGAAGAAGGGUCCUUGAUGCGUGCAGUGCUCUGCGCCCCCGUCCCCCCACCCUCGCAUCCCUCUCUCCAUCUUUUACGCCACGCCCUUUCGGGGUCUCUUUUCACGUGCAGCAUGGAGGAAAAGGGGGAGAGAGGACCAAACGCACGACGCCUGCCACACCCGCGUCAAGGUGUUUGCUGGAGGAUCGAAUAGGCGCAUGUCCGUAAGUAAGUGGGCGUGUUGUCUCCUCGCGUGUUCAGCGGAUGACGUAGACUGUUGUGGAUGUCGCAUGUGUUGUGUGUUGUGUGUGUGGGUGUGUGGGUGGGUGGGCGUGCGUGUGUCAUCCGUUGCGUCUUUCGAAUGUUGUGAUGUUGGUGCGGUCGUGUUGAUCUCUCUGUGCGCGUGCAUACUUCGCGUCCCCGUUGUUGUUGUUGAAAAGGAUGGAAUCGGUGCGCUGAUGCGUCUCGACGCGUCUGUGAAAGCGAAGUACCGGUGCGAGACGGAGGGGGGAUGCCCAGCGGUGCCGGUGCGUCCGUCUGCAUGUGUGCCUCCCGCAGCACGACCUGGACCGAAUCGCUUCCGCGUUCCUUUCUUUUCUGUCGUGGAGGGUGGGUGGGCGGGUCGCCUGUCACGCAUGUAAGGACUGUCACCAUGUCUUGGCAUGCCUGGCUAAUUCCUUGUGCAGGAACGCGCACAAGGCACAGCGUGACACCCGCGCGCACGAGUCCAUGCAUGUGCCUGACGGGGACUGCAUACGUAGGCAGCUGCCUCUUGCAAUAAAGGGAGAGGGGCAUGGAAGGCGCUGGUGCUCUCCCCGUUCGCUCCGAUUAGGGUGUGCUCCGUUGCUUCUAUCCCACGCCAUCCUCCUCGCCUGCCCGUCCUGCCCGCUCUCCCUCCGCUGCCCGCACCUCGCUCAACACAAGUGUAAGCAAUACAUACAGAGCAAGAUAGGUCGACGCCACACAGCUCAGCCGUCGGUCGCGCGUCCACCUUGCCGUCUUCCUUCCGCUCGUAACUCUCCAUCACCACCCAACCACCCACGCACACCCCUGCCUCGCCUCACCAAGCGUCGCCUACACAG
rnacentral:misc_RNA from 1 species